GUUCGAGCAUAUUUUGGUAGCUUACUUCACGAAGAACGUAGUACUGAAAGCUCAGUACCAUGGGAGUCUCAUGAACAUGUUUUUGUUAUGAAAUCAUACUGCCAUCUGGUUGAUAAGAUUGAUAAAGCCUCACAUUCUGUAGGAAAAGAUGGAAAGUUUCAGUUGUUUAUUUGUUUUGCAGCCAGAGACCACCUGCUCCAUAGAAUGCUAUUACACGUAGCAUCUAGUCCGAUUACUGCUAGCAUGUAUGAGGAACAGUCAUUCUUGCGAGAUCCUAGCUUAGUCACAUUUCUGGUCCAGAUCUUGGAGAGCCUAUCAGAGUUCAGCAUUACCUUAGAAUCAUCUCUCACAAAAGGUGUUGAGAGUUGAUAGUACUAUGGCUGAAGAUUUCAUAUUUGAAAAUUGUUAUUCAUUAACAACUAAUCCACUUUUUUUAUGAUCUGUAUUAAAUAUUCUAUCUUGGUGUGACUCUAACGUUUUGGAUUGUCAAAAAUAUAGAUGUGAAAUAAUUUAUUUUAUUUUUUCACAUUACUGUAUUGUAUCUUCUGUUUCUAAUAGUUACUUUUUAUUGCAAAAUAUCUCUGUACAAAGAAAAUCAAUGUGUGUGUGUGUGUGUGUAUAUAUAUAUAUACUGUCAUGUAUUUAAAAAUUCAUGGUUCAUUUACUUAUGCAAAAUAAAUACUCAAUUCUUUUAUGUUAAAGUAUGUUACAAAUUGGAUAUAGAAAUAAUUUUUUUGUAACGAGAAACCUCAUUUCAGUUUUUAGGUGAAUAAUUUUCCAUUGUUAAGAAGAGUUAACUACGAAUAGCAUAAUUUUAUAAUGGCUUUUAAUACAUAAUAUAAGGAGCUUUCUAAAACUUCGAACAGAGGUUAAGCAUAAUCUUGUUUCUAAAUGAAAAGUUAAUAAUUAACAAGAAUUCAGAUUUUUUUCCUUUUUUAAGACCCAAUCUGGUCUUUGAUGUUAAAAGUUUUAAGUAGAUUGAAAUUUAAGAAAUUAUUUCAAAUUUUCUGUAAGUUAGAUGAACUGCAAUUUAAAUUAUGUGAUACAACUUACAACAUUGUAACAUACAGGUUUUUGUAGACUAACAGGUGAUAGAAGAAUUUAAAUUUAAUAUAUUAAAAUGUUCAUAUAUUUAUAGCAAUUUGGUCUCAUACUUUUGGGUUUUUUGUUGUUAUGUUUAGGAUGUUGAGAAAGUAAUGUGUGUAUAUAUCUAUAAAAGAAAGAAAGCUAGUAUAAUUAGGUGACAAAAAUUUUGUAUGAUAACUUUUGUUUUGAAAUAAUCAUGAUUUUAUAGGAUUUUACCAUAUGAUUGUUUUUUUUUUUUGUUAUCAUUCAGUGUUUUUUUCUGUGAAUAAAAAAAAAUCAAACAUGUUCUGUAAUAACUAACAGUUCUUCCCAAGCAAAGUAUCUAUCUAUAUGUAUAAGAUUGUGGUAUUACAGAUACAUUUUAUUUCAUGAAACACUUUAUGAAGGCUGUGAAAGGAUAAAAGUGGUAGAUAACUAGGUCUGAAUUCUUUUCUCAUUUGUAAAAUUAUUUCUGUCCAUUUAAAAGUACAUUUGUAAUUAUAGUGUUUUAUGUAAGUCUAUUGUACAUAUACUUACUGGUUUACAUGUUUAUUGUAGUGUUAUGUCUCAUUUGUUUUUAUUGUGUCUGUACAUAAUAGUUGGUUGGAUUUUUGUAUCUCUAAGAAUAUAAAUUACAUAUUAAGAUUUUGGGGGCUGUAAGUAAAACAUGUUUGUGCAAUAUUAUCUUCAAUUAUUUUUUUAACAAACUAUAUUACAUUAGAUUAAUAAUGGCGUUUAAGUAACUGUACCAGUCACAUUAUUUCUUUUAUUUAGUGCACACUGGAAAGUACACAGAUUUAUUUGAUAAAGAAACCAAACUCCUAAACAAAAUAAGAGGGGUAAAAGUCUGUAAAAAGUAGUAUGAAUGACAAAUAGAAUAUUUGUUUUUCAGCAGCCUCAAUUAGUAAUUAUGUAGCUGGUCUAACGUUUCUCAGGUACAAUGUUGAAAGGGAAACAAGGAAUAGUGUUGACACUAGUAACACACAUUGUGAGUUUUAGUAACUUCAAUAAGUAUGAUGUUAAAAACAUCAGUUAUUGUAAUUUAUAGCGUGCGCAUUUUCUGCAUUGGAGAUGUAGUAAGUUACUGCCCAUCAAGUUUCAUAUGGUGGUGAAAUUUGUUUCUGGUUACCUAUCAAUACACAGUUGUUAAGCUAAUGUGAACUAUUGAGGAAUGUAUAAUCUGUUUUUUUUAUGAAAGAUAUGUAGUAAUUUAUUUCGGAUAAACUGCUCUGCCUUGAUGAACGCAUUGUCAGUUACAUUGAUUUUGGUUAGUUUAUUUGAUAUUGUAUUUUUACCUGUGUUUAUGUCAUCGGUUAGGGUGUAUAAUAGUUGCUCCACCUAAAGCUCAAAAUAUGUAUAAAAAUUAACACACACACACACACUUAGAUGUCAUCAGAAUAUAAUGGAAGGAUACUGUAAUAAAAGCUCUAAUUUUAAGUUGUGUUACCAAAAUACGUGAAACCGUUUUCCAGAACGCGUCUUGAUUCCGCUCACGAAACAAGAUAACAUGUAAGUACAGUUUCCUUAAGCUAAAUAAAUAGCUUUUAAAGAGCCUUAGAAUAUUU
rnacentral:lncRNA from 1 species